UACGUAGGGACCAAGCGUUGUUCGGAUUUACUGGGCGUAAAGGGCGCGUAGGCGGCGUGACAAGUCACUUGUGAAAUCUCUGGGCUUAACCCAGAACGGCCAAGUGAAACUGUUGUGCUAGAGUGCAGAAGGGGCAAUCGGAAUUCUCGGUGUAGCGGUGAAAUGCGCAGAUAUCAGGAGGAACACCGGUGGCGAAGGCGGGUCUCUGGGCCGAUACUGACGCUGGAGGAGCGAAAGCGUGGGGAGCGAACAGG
rnacentral:rRNA from 1 species